UAUAUGUUAGCUGCCUUUAGUGAGUUUUAACUAUAUCAUUAGGUGAAAAAAUUGAUGUUGCUACUGUUAGGAAAUUGCGUACGGUAAAACGCAGCGGAAAAAGAAAUCAAACAAAUUUGAUUUUUGAAAACUCUCGAGAUCUAAUCUCAAAACCACGCAAUUAGGAUCCCUCAUGUUCUUUAAGAUUAAAGGAGAAAAGUAAGAUCGAAUCAUUACCUUUUUCGCGGAUAAAUCCUUCCCUCAAUUUGAUGAUCGUGGAAUCGGGUUCUCUUGAAGCCGCACACGCGUCCGGCCUCUAUAGGUAUCCACACGAGGUUUUUGAUUUGAUCGAUGUCCUCACCGGGGUGCUAGCUCCCUUGCAAAAGGACGUCUUUCUUGCUAGAAGAUGGAAGAGAGAAGAGAGGAUAGAUGACGGCUAGGGUUUUCUAAAACUCCCGUAUAUUAUAUAUAGGAAUAUAAUCCUAUUCCUAAUAAUAUAAUGACAAUUAAGGAUAAGUAUAAAUCUAGAUUUAAAUUUAUCUUUUCCUUAAUUGGUUAGAUCGAUCAAAUCCUAAUUUGAUUCGACUUGAAUUUUAUAUUAAUUUGAUCUUAUCAAAUUAAUAAUGCAACAUUUUACUAACUAUUAGUAAGUCCUCUCUAGUAAAAUUUAUACUUUAAUACCACUAAUUUGUAACAAUUACAAAUUAGUCCAAUUAUCAACAUAUUGACAAUUAGGUCUUCUGGCGAUUCAAUAAUCGCGAUCUAGCUAUCCGAUCAAUCACAACCUCUUAUGUGUGUGACCCCAUAGGUUCUAUUCUAUCUGGUAGUGAGAUAUAUUUUGAUCACUAUCAACAAUAUCACUGAAACUCCUUUCAAUGGAUUAAAACAAUUCCAACUCAGCCCAAUGAAAAUUAUCGAUCAUCUAGAUAAUUCUCAUGAGUCUCACAAUCCACCAGUGACGCCUAGCAGCAUGUAGUGGCAUUCCAGUAGAAUGGAAUACUGAACCUCUUGGUGCAGUUACCGUGUGAUACAAUCCUUCUAUCAUGAGUCCCGACUAGACGGAGGUUAUGGAAUAACUCGUCAAACCCCAACGUCUGUCAUAUGUUAAAUUUAUUCGACUCGAGUUUCUAAUAUCGGAAACCCUUUUCCGCUAUUUAUUCUGCCCUGGCCAAGGUCUUCUAAAC
rnacentral:lncRNA from 1 species